rnacentral:rRNA from 1 species
AGCGAACGCUGGCGGCAGGCCUAACACAUGCAAGUCGAACGGACCCUUCGGGGUUAGUGGCGGACGGGUGAGUAACACGUGGGAACGUACCUUUAGGUUCGGAACAACUCAGGGAAACUUGAGCUAAUGCCGAAUGUGCCCUUCGGGGGAAAGAUUUAUCGCCUUUAGAGCGGCCCGCGUCUGAUUAGCUAGUUGGUGAGGUAAAGGCUCACCAAGGCUACGAUCAGUAGCUGGUCUGAGAGGAUGAUCAGCCACACUGGGACUGAGACACGGCCCAGACUCCUACGGGAGGCAGCAGUGGGGAAUCUUGCGCAAUGGGCGAAAGCCUGACGCAGCCAUGCCGCGUGAAUGAUGAAGGUCUUAGGAUUGUAAAAUUCUUUCACCGGGGACGAUAAUGACGGUACCCGGAGAAGAAGCCCCGGCUAACUUCGUGCCAGCAGCCGCGGUAACAC